CAUUUCCCUGUAAUUCAGCAGGACAUAUUUGGUAUCUUUGGAAACUUUGGGAUCUCCAGUCACAUUUAAAAUUAAGUUUUGUGGGAUUGAACAAAGCUCACGCAGUGUAUAUUUGUAAUCA